rnacentral:rRNA from 1 species
GACGAACGCUGGCGGCGUGCUUAACACAUGCAAGUCGAACGAAGAGCGAUGGAAGCUUGCUUCUAUCAAUCUUAGUGGCGAACGGGUGAGUAACGCGUAAUCAACCUGCCCUUCAGAGGGGGACAACAGUUGGAAACGACUGCUAAUACCGCAUACGAUCCAAUCUCGGCAUCGGGACUGGAUGAAAGGUGGCCUCUAUUUAUAAGCUAUCACUGAAGGAGGGGAUUGCGUCUGAUUAGCUAGUUGGAGGGGUAACGGCCCACCAAGGCGAUGAUCAGUAGCCGGUCUGAGAGGAUGAACGGCCACAUUGGGACUGAGACACGGCCCAGACUCCUACGGGAGGCAGCAGUGGGGAAUCUUCCGCAAUGGACGAAAGUCUGACGGAGCAACGCCGCGUGAGUGAUGACGGCCUUCGGGUUGUAAAGCUCUGUUAAUAGGGACGAAUGGUUCUUGUGCGAAUAGUGCGAGGAUUUGACGGUACCGGAAUAGAAAGCCACGGCUAACUACGUG